AACAAUGUCCAAGGAAGAACGGCUAGUAGUGUUAGUUGUUUUACCAUGAACAAUGGUUUUUUUUUUUUUUUUUUUUUUUUUUUUUUUUUUUAUUUUUUGUUUUUUGAUUUUUUUUUUUGUAUGUGUGUGUGUGUGUACUAUUCAUGAUGUUUAGGCAAAUUUUAGUAAGGUAAUCUUAGGAAUUUGCUUAAGGUUUAAGGGGUAAUUACAAUCAUAGCCAUAACAUCAAUUAUAAUAACCAAGAGUAAAUAUAAAGCAAUAAACAAGUAAUCCAAAUAUUAUAAGAGAGUUUAGAGAUACAAUAUUGAAUAAAGAUAGGCUCCUUGAUCAGAAUAGACAAUAGAUCCGUAAGAAUUAAUCAAGAACUUGCUAACACAUUUUGUAUUAAUGUAUGAGUAUGCGUAUGAGAGUGUUACAAUGCUAGGUUUAGCUAUAUAUCUAGGGGUUCCUAGGUUUCAUAUGAAUAUUCAGAGUAUAUUCAAAAGACAAGAUCUUUUGAUUUUGUUCUUCUUUCAUUCUGCAGCUCGGGUAUCUUUGGCAUAUUCCCAACUGAUUGAUUCUUUGAUCUUCUUGCCAUACUUGUAUCAAUCAAGCUAUCUUGGUUGAUCUUUGAUUUAUUUGACCUAUUUUCGGUCACUUGGCUAUGCCCUACGAUUUAUGGGCUUCUUCAGAGUAUGGGCCCAACAAUUGCCCUAAUUUCUAUGUUCAAGUAUUUGAAGAUGGAAGUAAUAAAACAUGUCGUUGGAUUAUUUUAAAAUUUGGAAGUUUUUUCUUACAACGGUUAACAAAAAUAGGGAGUGGGUGACGUUUAUUACGCAAGUACUUGGGAGUCGUGACCGACGAUUUGUCUCCUUGAAGUAUUUAUCGGGUGUGCAGGCUUCAAUGAAAUCACUUUACUCUUUGCCCCAAUUCGAACUUCUUUCUCAGGUGUAAAGAAUGAAGCCGAUUUUUGUUGCGCAGAACGUAUUCCUGUUAAGGAAAUUUAUCCUUCUCAACCGACGAAGGAUGAUGUGAGGAAAUUGCUACUGUUGCACGCUUUCCCGAUGGGGUGGUGGUGAAGAUUAUAUCUUCUAAAGGGAGGGCAGACUGGACUACCCCUGGCUGCUGGGUGUGUUUAACUUGGAGGGUUUUGCGAGUUCUUGAUUUGCUGAGUGCGAAGUUGGGUAUCUCGCUGGAUGUGAAGGAUCUUUGCUAUCCCUACACUAUUAGGACCAGUGGUAAGGGCCGGGUUACUCUAUGUUUGAAGGAUGGUGUUGAUCGUUUGGUGACAAAAUUGGAGCAGGCUUUUAAUAAGAAGUGGUAUCAUAGGUUAUUUGUGAGGAUUGAUUCUUUUGGUGGAGAUACCAGUUUCUUAAUUGACACUAUUGAGGCUGAAGGUUUUUUUAAUUUCUGAUUUUGUGUUGAUUUUCCUUCUUUGUUGAUUUGGGCUUAUUUACGUUUUAUUUGCAGUGAGUAAGUUGAAGCACCACACUGAAUCUCAGCCCUUGGUUAAUCGUUUGUACAAGUUGAGUUUUGUCGAGAGAUCCUUCGUAAGUUGACACAACCCGAAGCAGUUGUACAAAUCGAGAACUUAGACGAGUGGGAAUCUGACGAAGAAAUUGCCCCUGCUUUGUCUAUGUUGUUUUGACAUACUUGGUCUGUGUAUGUUUAGCGUAAUGUAUAGCUUUGCUUGUGUUGUGUGUUGGUUGUCUUAUUAUGCUAUGUAUUCUUCAAGGUCGUGGCUCUGAAUUGUCCUGUUAAACUGAUUUUGGUUUUGUUCGUUGCACUUUGUUUCUUUAGAUAUUGCUAGUUCGUUGAGGUCCCAUGAUUUGCUUAGUUCGUCAUCUAUCUUGGGGCGUAUUAAACAGAAGGCUUCUAAAGCUGGGGAGGACAUUCUUGAGAAGGGUCUUGUAAUGAAAAGGGCUCUUUUUCCUCCUUCGCCCCAUGCUUCUGGUGUAAAGAGGAACUUUGAAGUCCUUGCUGAUUUUGAUGCCUUGAGUUUCUCCUAUGAGACUUUGGCUCCUUAUGCAGAUAACUUGUUGUUCCCUUUGUUUAAAGAACGUCAAUCCUUGUAGACUUUUUGUCGACCUUUCUCAGGAGGCUGUUGUGCACUCUUUUCCAAUAUGGUAUACUCCCCAAAAAAAAUUCUUUAGACAGACACGAGGAAAUUACUUGAUCCUUGCUAAUGUUACUCAUGUCUAUUCAGAGUCUUCAAUCUUUCUUAGGGGUGUUGAGUAAGGUGUCAGAGUUCUCCAGGGCUUUUGAAGUCAUGAAGAAGGAACGUGACUCUCUCUCUGAUAAGUUUAAGGCGGCUUCCGAAGCUUUGAAGAGUGAACAAACUAAGUACAAGGAUUAUCGUGUUGAGUUUGAUGAGACAAAAGGCACUUUGAAGUCUGCUGCGAAUGAAUCUCUUGAUAUGGCAAGCUACUACUUUGGCAAGGCUCGUUUGGAGAUGAUAGAGGAGUAUCAGCAAGACAAACAUGAGGCAUGGGAUUAUGCUACAGAGAAGGUUGCCUUUGCAAUGUCUUUCCCUGAUGGAGUUGUCGCUCCAGGCUCCCUGUUGCUGAGCUAUGCUAAUGAAGAGGUGAAUUCUCCGGCCAAAACGACGACGUGAAGGUUUCUCCAGAAGAAGAGAAGGUCCUUGAUGACAAGACUGGAGGAAAUUAGCUUUGCAGUGUCAUUCCCUCAGUUUUUCAGAAUAAUUCGUUUUAUAUUUCUUAGUAUUUAUAGUAUUACUGCCUAAGUGUAGUGGGAUAUUUAUUUUCUUUUGCUUUUUUGCUGCCUUGUCGUAGCUGGAUGCUUUGUUUGUUUUGUUGCUUUGCGCACUUAAGUAAUUUUAUAUUUUAU